AUACGGAGGAUGCAAGCGUUAUCCGGAUUUAUUGGGUUUAAAGGGUGCGUAGGCGGAUGAUUAAGCGUGAGGUGAAAUGCCACUGCUCAACAGUGGAACUGCCUCGCGAACUGGUUGUCUUGAAUGCUCCUGCCGUGGGAGGAAUGUGUGGUGUAGCGGUGAAAUGCAUAGAGAUCACACAGAACACCGAUUGCGAAGGCAUCUCACGAAGGGGUGAUUGACGCUGAGGCACGAAAGCGUGGGGAUCAAACAGGAUUAGAUACCCUGGUAGUCCACGCAGUAAACGAUGAUAACUAACCGCCGGGUCGUAGUGAUUCAGUGGCCAAGCGAAAGCGAUAAGUUAUCCACCUGGGGAGUACGACCGCAAGGUUGAAACUCAAAGGAAUUGACGGGG
rnacentral:rRNA from 1 species